CCAGCCAGCCGGAUUUCUCCAAGGUUUCUGCUUCAAGCUCCUUCAAGUUCCUGCCCUGACUUCUUUCAUGAUGGGCUGUGACAUGGAAGUGUCUAAGAUGCUGCAAUAACAUCAUUAUGUGGAAACCUUGGCCAUGUCUCUGAUUAUUUCCUUUGGAGAGAUUUUAUAAGUGAAUCAUGGAAUCAAAUAGGAGCAGCCUUUUGGAAACACUUGGGAAACACGAUCAAAUUACUUCCCCCAAAGAGACCACAGCAAUGGAAAAGAAUGGCUAUUUGUUUAUAUUUUAGGUUUUGAGUCAGGGUUCAACUGUGCGGCUCAGGUUUUCCUGGAACUUGUGAUCCUCCUGCCUCAGACUCUUGACUGCUUAGAUGGCUGAAGAGAGUGACUUGUCAGAGCAUUUCCAGUAUUGGCGUGACCACUGCUUUACUGAAAAUAGUAACUUUCUGAGCUAGAGAGAUGACUCAGCUACUAAGAAUGCCUCCUUCUCUAGUAGAGGACCCCAGGUCAAUUCCCAGCACCCAUAUAAGAUGACUCACAAGUGCCUAUAACUCAGCGUCAGGAGAUCUCAGGCAUCCAAAGACACCUGCACGUAACCCUACACAAAUAAUUAAAAACAAUUACAAUAAAUCUUAAAAAUAGUA